AUGAACUGGCAUAGAAGAGAACCAAGGGGGGAAAAAAAUGUGGACAAUGCAAUGAUGGUGCUGCCUAAGCUGGCCACGGGCCUGGAUGUGAAUGUGCAGUUCACAGGCUCUCAGACUUUGAGUACACACCGGAGUGCAGUGUCUUUGACCUCCUGGCAGUCCCUCUGUACCACGGCUGGCUUGUGGACCCACAGAGUCCUGAGGCCGUGAGUGCAGUUGGGAAACUGAGGUCUAACCAGCUGGUAGAGAAGAUCAUCACCUGCAAACACUCUAGUGACCCCAACCUCGUGACAGAAGACCUGAUUGCAGAGCAGUUCCUAGAGACCACCGCGGCCCAGCUGACCUACCACGGUCUAUGUGAGCUUACCACAGCUGCUAAGGAGGAUGAACUUAGUGUCUUUUUCCGGAACAACCACUUUAGCACUAUGACUAAGCACAAGAGUCACUUGUACCUACUGGUCACAGACCAAGGUUUUCUACAGGAGGAGCAGGUGGUAGGGGAGAGUCUGCACAGUGUGGAUGGAGACAGUGGCUUCUGCGAGUCUGACUUCCAUCUCAGCCAUUCCCUGGGCAAGGCACCCAGAGCAGAAGGUGGGGAUGGCUCUCCAGAAAAGCAGCUGCAGGUAGACCAGGACUACCUGAUUGCCUUGUCCCUGCAGCAGCAGCAGCAGCAGCAGCCACAAGGCUCACUGGGCUUGACUGACCUGGAGCUGGCACAGCAGCUUCAGCAGGAGGAGUAUCAACAGCAGCAAGCAGUCCAUCCUGUGCAGACACAGGCCCCACUGCCACAGGGCAGAGGAGCCACCUCUGGAUGGCCAGCUGGGGAGCCGCGGCAGAGGCCAAAGCACCAGUCAGACUGUGUUCUUCUGUAGCUCUACCCCUUCGUUCAGAGGCUGUGGCUGGUUGGUUUGCUUUUCCACCUUGGCCCCUGAGAUAUUCCGGGUAACUUAUUUAUGGAC